CGCACGUAUUUUGCGUGAAAGUGCUCUGUUCACAGGGUUCGAGAGGGGUAUGGUCCCUGCAGGAUGCCACUUAUUGGGAGACAGUGCCUACCCCUCCAAGAAGUGGCUCCUGACACCCUAUGUACGACCUCAGCCGGGCCCACAGUCCGCCUAUAAUAGAGCACACAAAAGGACAAGGAGCACAGUGGAGAGGGGGAUUGGCCAGUGGAAGCGGAGAUUUCAUGUGCUCCAUGGUGAAAUCAGAGUCAGCCCUCCUGCAUAUGUGUGUAGAAUAAUACAGGUGUGUGCUAUUUUGCACAACAUCUGCAAAGACAGACACCUCCCUGUACCCGAGGAAGGAGAGGACGAGGGUGAUGGUGCAGGUUUCCAUGAGGACCCACCUGUCCCACUACCACCUGUACCUGGACGAGUUCGGGAAGGUCUGCUCUACAGGGAUGAGUUUGUCAACCUUCACUUCAUUGACAGACCUCAACCUCAGCCUCGUGCAGCUGUGUGAGGCUUCCCGACCCAUCAACAGGUUAAUUCCACACCUACUUCCAACUCUGCAGCCUGCAGUUCAAGUUCCCUCUUCAGGCGGAUGAACUGCAGCUCCUCCUCAUCCACCAACAUGGUGCAGGUCCCAACUGGUGUACUGGAGGAAGCUGCAGCGGCAGGAACUACUGGUGGUGGUGUGGUGGUGGUUUGAGGUGUGUCUGUGCUGGGUUGGGGAGGGACAGGUGGUGUGACAUCCACCUGAAGACUCCUGGCAAAAAUACAUCCAUCAGUACCUGCACUCAUAAUUUUCUUGUGUUAUUUGACUUACAUCCCCAUUUAUGGAAACAAUACAGUUUAGGUUGAAAAGCCUUUGCAGGAAAGGAGUGUGUGUUCCAGAGGUCAUUUCUUUGGUGUUCUGCUGUUCAGUACGUAAUGCCUACGUCGUUAAGGACAACUAGCAUGGUUCAUGAGUAAGCAGACCUGACCGAGGUCAGACGUGGGUCACGGCGCUCCGAAUGGAGUAGCCCGGGGCCAGCCUGUUGGCCUCUCCCCUGCCCCUCCAUCCCCCUCUCCCUUUUCAUCAAAAACCCAACAUCGUAAGAAACUAUUGUGACAUCAAGCUUAAUCAUGGUGACAGACAGUGAGUGCUAUGUGUUUGUGGUCCCGUGAAGACACUGAAGUUUAGAAAUGGUCAGUGUGACAUCGACACGGCCUUACUAUCCAGCCGACGUCCCAGGUGCCCCGAGGUACACCAGCCCGACCAUCAUGCUGCUAGGAGAACUCUGUUCAGCCGCCUCUACCUGCACCCCUGCCAUCAGCGGCGACCUGACCCUUUUUUGACCUAUACCCCUUUCAUAUUGUAAUUUCCCAUUUUUUUCAAAUAUAUUUCAAAAUUUGUAUUUUAAAUGUGUAUAUUUUCAGCUUUACAGCUGCAAUCACUUAAUAGACCGUUUUAUUUUUAUUAUUACUAGGAAGGAUGUCUCAACACAUUAUCAAGUCAGCUCUCGAUAGCAAUUGAAUAAAUUUCUGUACACAUUGUUCCUCACUGUUUGAUUCCAUGAUUGCCCUAAUAUGGACUGCAUACAGCAGCAUGAUAGUAUUGGGUAAAUAAUAAUAAUAUGUAAUAGUACUCUAUAAUAAUACUUUAAGCAGAAAACUGUGGACUUUAGGAGAUGGAAAGCAAUACCUCCUCCUUGUGUACUGCAGUUUUCUAAAAGGAAAGCAAAUUAUUUUCAACAGUAACAGCAAGACCUAUUUUGGAGAACUUUAAAUCUACAAUCUACCUGACAGGCAUUUCUCAGUAAAAUGAACUAACACAACUGAUAAAUCAUUUGGAAAUGUCAUGUACAUGUUAGAGUAAUAUUUUUGUACAUUUGGAUUUAAGAAUAUUUAUUCUUAUUUUGGUAAUGAAGUAAUGUCAGACAUAUGAGACACACUUCAUAAAGCAAUACAUUUAGUACAAAUUAAUGACACCUAUAAGACAUUUUAGGUUAAUCCAUAUUGUCUGCUUGUAACCUUAAUAAAAAGUUGGUACAGAAUUCCUAAAAUAUAAUAAAUCAGUGUAUCAUACAAACAAGCUAAAGUAGACAAAUACGACGAUCAUCAAGGAACGGAAAUAACAAAUUUUACUAAUGAUUGUACAAAUAACGUUUAGUAAAUAUUCUGAGCCCUCACAUGGGGGUGGGGAAGCCAGGGGUGGCAAUUCUAGCCUGAACCUGCCGCCCACAAGGCUGACAAAAUUAUUUUAAAAUCAAUAUUUUUCAGAAAGUAACAAUAACAACCACACUGCAGUCUGAGGAAUGCUUUUUCCUAUUAUUUAUGAAAAAAUAAUUUUUAAAAUUUCACUUAAUUAUACGGCACAGACAGCAAAAGUAUCUUUUAUUAUGUAUACCGGUAUCCAAUAAUCACAUUGCCCGAAUUAGGGUCAUAGGCAGUAAAGGUACGUGGUGGAGGUGGGAAGUGGUGAUUGGGGGGCGGGGGGGGGA